AACCCUAGUCGAUUUUUCAGUCACUCCAUCUGAUCUUCCGUGCUGGAAUCCAUAAAUCUGUAUCAUUUAAAUCUGCUAUAUAAGUUCAGGUGUUCGUGAAAGGAUCACCGGUACAGGAAGAAAGAAGCAAUUUUGUCGAUGGCACCACUUAUAAACAGGUUUCCUUUCGUAGCUAAUCAUUUGAAGAGAAUGAUAAGUAAGCUUAAUGCAAAUGACGAAAAACACACAAUAAAGUCAUGGUCUCGUGCAUCUAUGAUUAUACCAGAAAUGGUUGGCCAUCGUAUUGCUAUCCAUAAUGGAAAGCGACACCGUCCUAUUCAAAUCAAAGAUGCUAUGGUUGGACACAAAUUGGGAGAAUUUGCACUUACUAGGGCACGUAAGCCACAAAAGCCACAAAAUGUGAAAAAAGUUGCAAAAAAGGGAAAAUGAUCCGACUCCAAGAUAACUGUGGCAAGAACAUGUUAACUCAAGCCAGUGUGGUGAAGAAUAGGUCAAGAUUUGUAGUUUCUAAGUUCCUCAUCAUUUGAUUUCUGGAUUUACUUUUGCAAGGUGAUCCUAUGGAAACUUGUUAGUUUGUAUUUUGCUUUCCAUUUUUCGAGUAUUUUCUGGAUCAUCACGUGCUGCAAUUCGAAGAUUAUGCGCGUUCGCAGUUUAUUUGUAAUAAUGAAUUUGAUGUUUUUGGUGCAUUGGUUCGAUUUAGCAUCAACCUUGUCUUCUUCCAUUGCCUUUAUACAUGUUCCAUUUUGUU